rnacentral:rRNA from 1 species
CCUACGGGUGGCUGCAGUGGGGAAUAUUGGACAAUGGGCGAAAGCCUGAUCCAGCCAUGCCGCGUGUGUGAAGAAGGCCUUCGGGUUGUAAAGCACUUUCAGUGGGGAAGAAAGCCUUGGGGCUAAUACCCUCGAGGAAGGACAUCACCCACAGAAGAAGCACCGGCUAACUCCGUGCCAGCAGCCGCGGUAAUACGGAGGGUGCGAGCGUUAAUCGGAAUUACUGGGCGUAAAGCGCGCGUAGGCGGUCUGAUAAGCCGGUUGUGAAAGCCCCGGGCUCAACCUGGGAACGGCAUCCGGAACUGUCAGGCUAGAGUGCAGGAGAGGAAGGUAGAAUUCCCGGUGUAGCGGUGAAAUGCGUAGAGAUCGGGAGGAAUACCAGCGGCGAAGGCGGCCUUCUGGACUGACACUGACGCUGAGGUGCGAAAGCGUGGGUAGCAAACAGGAUUAGAUACCCCUGUAGUC